rnacentral:rRNA from 1 species
AUACGAAGGGGGCUAGCGUUGUUCGGAAUCACUGGGCGUAAAGCGCGCGUAGGUGGAUCAAUUAGUUGAGGGUGAAAUCCCGGGGCUCAACCUCGGAACUGCCUUCAAUACUGUUGAUCUUGAGACCGAGAGAGGCGAGUGGAAUUCCUAGUGUAGAGGUGAAAUUCGUAGAUAUUAGGAAGAACACCAGUGGCGAAGGCGGCUCACUGGCUCGGUACUGACGCUGAGGUGCGAAAGCGUGGGGAGCAAACAGGAUUAGAAACCCUAGUAGUCC